rnacentral:tRNA from 1 species
GGCUCGGUAGCUCAACAGGUAGAGCGUGCGCGUACAAAGCAUAGGCGGCGUCCAUAUGUGGGUUUGAAUCCCAUUGAGGCUA